rnacentral:lncRNA from 1 species
CGCUGCGAUGACGGCCCAUCAGCUGAAGCAGUGGUAUGUCUUUUGUGUUGUCUUUUCCUUUUUUUGGUAGCAUUUGACAAUGAGAAAACUUGCCAACAAACUGUAUGGAAUGGAGUAAAAAAAAAUGAGAUAAAUUACGAUGAAUAUACAUCAUCGUUGAACCGCGUGAAAAACGAUGAUAAUGGAAUGAAAUUCUUCGCACGACUUUUUUUAGAGUCACUACAAGGCGCGGCUUCUGGAUGGCCUGAUGGAUAUAUUUGACUUAAACAAGACAUCUACAACAUGGAGUUCAAAUGUUAAAAUCUCUAAAAACAUGCAUGUUAGACUGUCGAAAAUCCCCAACAACAUGGAGAACAGUUCAAAUAUUACAAUCUCCAAAAACAUUGUGAACAGUAGAACAAUCCCCGACAACAUGCACAGCAGUUGAAAUACUAAACGGGUCAGGCUCAUGCAUUGCGGGCUUGCAAGGUCAUGCAAUCCGGUAUAUAGGUCACUCAAUUUUUUUGACACCAGUUAAAAAGCAUCCGUUAUUUUAAAUACAUCUAUACCUAAAUAGAAAUCUUAGCUUCUUGAGUUAUUAGGAUGUAUGUAAGGUCCACUCUGGGGCCGUAACUCGCAAUGUAAUAAUAAGCUAGAAAUUACCUUGUCACCCUUGUAUAUGAAAUUGUCUUGUUUUGUAUCUUGUCAACAUUUCUUUAUUCAUGCGGAUUGGGAACGUGUUUAUUUUAAGUAUCUUGUCAACAUUUCUUUAUUCAUGCGGAUUAGGAACGUGUUUAUUUUAGGUAUCUUGUCAACAUUUCUUUAUUCAUGCGGAUUGGGAACGUGUUUAUUUUAGGUAUCUUGUCAACAUUUCUUUAUUCAUGCGGAUUGGGAACGUGUUUAUCUUAAGUAUCUUGUCAACAUUUCUUUAUUCAUGCGGAUUGGGAAUGUGUUUAUUUUAAGUAUCUUGUCAACAUUUCUCUAUUCUUGCUGAUUGGGAACGUGUUUAUCUUAAGUAUCUUGUCAACAUUUCUUUAUUCAUGCGGAUUGGGAACGUGUUUAUUUUAGACGAUCCGUUUCGAUUCCGUGCUUUCUUCAUGCAACCAGUCGAUUUUUGCUUUAUAGCACUACUCUAAAACAAUGAAGCAAAAUAUCAUUCUUCAUGGCUUAUCGACCAGGCCUCAACACAAGAAUUACUAUUGUAGUUAUUUCCAUACAUUAUCAUUUUUUUUUGUACUUUGUACAAACUUUUUGUCGUAUUCAAUACAAUUUUUGCAAAAUCAUAUAUAACGUAUAAACUUUGAAAAUCUUUGUCGUUCUUUAGCCGGGACGAUUGUUAUCAGUCACCUUUUGAUCGAAAGUUUUGGACAUGAAAGUUAGGACAUUUGCCGUAUUUAUUUAACGUAAACAUGAGGAAGUGAUCUGGACGGUAAACCAUAUAAAAUUGCACUUUUAACUUUUUUUGUCAAAACUAACAUUGUUUUGGCACGAUUUAUGCUUUUAACCCAUUCUUAAACAAAGAUGGUAAUUUUAAACUCCAGACUGUAUCCGCAAUUAUUCUGAAAUGGACGAAAUUGUAAAAUCAAAUCAGUACAAUUUAAAACAAAUGAAAUGGAAAAUCCCAAUGUAUUUUAGAAAAGACGUCUAUAUGUAUAUAUAGUACCGAAAGUCAUAACAGGCAAGUUCGACUUGUUUCAACUAUCCCAGUAUGUCAGUGACUACAUGCCAGAGCCAACAAAUAUUUUUGUGAAUCAUAAAUCGUAUUGACGCUCGUGUUGCAGACAUGCUCCUGGUGAAUACACACCAGUAUACAUAUAUACACCAAUCUUAGGCCUAGUCUAUACCUCUAUCUAGAAAAAUAAAUAAUUUGUUUCAUUUUUUGGUUUAUGGAAAACACAACGUUUAUUUUUUGACAAAUAAAUUAGUUCUGUAUAGAUGAAUAAAUUGAUAAGCGUGGUGUUAUCCACAAACCAAAAAGAUAUUUUCAUCGCCAUGUAAACAUGCAAAUGAACAACAUUAACAUAUUGUCAGAUUCAUGCAUUUAUAGUUACUGCCGUCAAAGUUUGCACCAGAUAUGAUGAUAUGAUAUCCAGCCUAUAACAUAUGAAUAUAUAACAAGUGGAGAUACUUUUAAAUAUCCAGUCUAUUAUUAUUCUUCAGUAUAAAUUCAGUAUUGAAAAAUGACUUUCAAGCAUUCUGAUUGGUUCCCUCAACAGUAUCUCUGAGACAGUAGUUACUGCUCAGACUUCUCGCUCUCAGCAGUAACUCUGGGGCAAUAGUUACGGCUCAAGCUACGCUGAGCAGUAACUAUUGCUUUCAAAACAAAAUGGCUGCCGAAAAUCCACUUGCAAACAAAUCAUCGAAGAAACAAUUGAAGAAAUUAAAGCACAUAUUAUACCUCUUAAAGCAAAAAAAAAGCAGCAAUAUAUGGUGUUAACCUAUUUCCGAAAGACAAAAGCACCUCCAAUUUAAAAAGGGAAAAUAACAGAACCGUUUGACUCGAAAGCGGAAAAGUGAAGUAAAUUAUAUUUGCAACGUAACGUUUGUAUAUAUUAUUAUUUUUCAUCACUGAAUUUAUACUGAAACAAUUUGUCACCUCAGGCUUGGUGAGCUUAUAUUCACUUCGCUGCUUCGCAGCUCAGUGAAUGCAGGUUUGUAAUGCCUAGGCCUUCGGCAGUCGGCUAAUUGUUAAAUAAUUCUUUCUGUUUCUCAUAAACCAUGUAAUUUAUCAAGACGAUUGUUGAAUUGAAAUAAAUAUGAUAAUGUUUAUAUAAAAAAAUAAUGGAAAGAAAAUAUAUAUUUGUAAAAUAGUAUAAUGUAUUUUGUACUGUCGCUUUAAAAAACGA